GCCUGAGUGGCUCAGUUGGUUGAGCGACUGGCUUCAGCUCAGGCCAUGAUCCUGCAGUCCUGUGAUCAAGUCCUGCCUCAGGCU
rnacentral:tRNA from 1 species